rnacentral:rRNA from 1 species
UUCCGUAGGGUGACCUGCGGAGGGAUCAUUACCGAGUUUACAAACUCCCAAACCCUUUGUGAACCUUACCUAUCGUUGCUUCGGCGGGAUCGCCCCGGCGCCUUCGGGCCCGGAACCAGGCGCCCGCCGGAGGCCCCAAACUCUUAUGUCUUUAGUGGUUUUCUCCUCUGAGUGACACAUAAACAAAUAAAUAAAAACUUUCAACAACGGAUCUCUUGGUUCUGGCAUCGAUGAAGAACGCAGCGAAAUGCGAUAAGUAAUGUGAAUUGCAGAAUUCAGUGAAUCAUCGAAUCUUUGAACGCACAUUGCGCCCGCCAGUAUUCUGGCGGGCAUGCCUGUUCGAGCGUCAUUUCAACCCUCAGGCCCCCAGUGCCUGGCGUUGGGGAUCGGCGUGGGCGGCGACGGCUCUCCGGAGCCCGAGCCAAUGCCUGCCGGCCCCGAAAUUCAGUGGCGGUCUCGCUGUAGUCCCCCUCUGCGUAGUAGCACAACUCGCAUUGGAGCUCGGCGGUGGCCAUGCCGUAAAACACCCCACUUCUGAAAGUUGACCUCGGAUCAGGUAGGAAUACCCGCUGAACUUAAGCAUAUCAAAAGUCCGGAGGAA